UAAUUGUUAAAAAGAACACGUUAGUUUUAAUUUGUUUCAUUUUUUUUUUUUAAUUACAUAAAAAGUAAAUUGUAGGUGUAUUUGCAUUGUUUGCUAAUAAUAAAUAAUUUUUCUCAAAUGAUAAUGCUCGAUAAUGCUCCAAUGUCUGAAUCGUCAGCUCUUCUACGCACACCAUUCACGCUCUUCAUUCAGUCUCCCGAUCUCCCAUUGUGCGCACGCGCUUGUCCCGCGUGUCUCUCGUUCGCGCGCUUUCUCUCUCUCUAUUUUUUGUCUCCCCACUCCUAUUACUCACAAUUAUAACAACAACACGUUGCAUAGCUAUGCAACAAGCAGCAGUCCUUACGCACCCGUCUUCUCAUUGUGUCUUUAUGGCAGCUUUCAAAUAAUCAAACGAGAAAAGGAGACGAGAGGAGGAGGGUGAUGUACGGUGUGCGGGCAGAGGUUGAGUCGUGGGUGGCAUGAAGUCGCUAGCUAGCUAGCUCGAGGAAGUCAAGAGAGAGAGAGAGAGACAGAGAAAAGAGAGAGGAACCGGGAGGGAGAGAGGGGUAGGAGGGAGGAGAGGGUUGGGAUGGUUGCUGCUGGCGGUGCAGGGUUGAAUAUCAACCCACGCGGACGUCCCGGACGUGCACCGGUGCUAGUUCGGUUUCGUCUGAACUCGCGUAACCACGCGGCCGUCGUCGCCGCGCGCUCGUCGUCGCGAACGCCAGUGCCCGCGAAAAACGAAAGCCGCGCGUGCGAACGAGAAGGUACGGAGCAGUAGAGCGGACCGCGCGACCGAGAGGAGGACGGAACUGGACGAUGGGAACGAAGGCUCGACGACCACGCGGUGGCUCAUGCCGGACCAACGGCCGAUCGCCGCCGAUGUCGUCGUCGUCGUCGUCGCCGCCGACGACGUUGACGUUGACGUUGACGCUGACGUCUCACCCAUGGUAGUCUCGCGCGCACGUCACAUCACGGCAUGUUGCCGCGGCGGCCGCUGCACCACCGAGCUGCAUCGAUUUUUCGACGUGCGCUCUCGCAAACACGACUGAUACCAAUGACCCUCGACCUACGGCCGAUUUAAAGGUCAGAGGCUGCGUUAACGAUAGUGUCGUCCAGAGUGAAGAUGGAGAAUGCGUGCGAAAGAGGGAAACUGAAUCAACGCGCGGGUCCCAAACUCUCGAUGACGUAAGAUCGAGAGGAAAAAAAACCGAUCGCAAGGAUCGUGACACGUGUGUCGCGCGAAUGAUACAUACAUUCGUGUAUAUUCCGAUUUUCCGAGAACACGUAGUACGCUUCGGCGGUUGACUCGCGGUCUCGCGGAAUCAUUGAUCUUCCUCGACCGCCUCCGCCACACGUGAACGUCACACAAUUCUUCAACGAGUACAACGACGCAAUUACUCGGCGACGCCAACGUCGCCGCCGUCGCCGCCGCCGCAAGCGACGCUCGCGGAUGUUACGGGAUGAUCGUUCUAACGGGAGGAAUCUCUGUAAAAAGACGCUUAUCGAUUCGUAGAAAGAUGACGCUUACGUAUAUCAGAGAAUUAAAAAUUGAGAAACAAAUGGCCGAUCAGAACGAGAUUGUAUCACUUGAACGGAACGGUUCCGUAUGAUUUUUGCAUACCACGAGGAGGAAGUAGUAACAUUGUUGCUUUAGUCAGACGGCUUGUCCGCGCGCUUCGCGGAAACAACGAAUAUAUUUCGUAUAUUUUAUGCUGAAAGGCGAAUAUCACGAACAUAGAGCAUAUAAAAGAAAAAGUACGUCGUGAUAACUGCAAUUGUAGUCUAAUUUUAUAAGGUCAAUCAAUCGAAACUUGUCGAUAAUCUUUGACGUCAAUUUAUCGAAGACAUAAUCACAUAUACACUUCGAGAAUGAUAUAUUUUUUCCGAGUGUUUAUAUAUUAUAUAAAUUUCAAAAUAUAUAUUUGAAAAAAAGCACAUCGCGUACAAAAACCAGAUUCUAUUUUCAUGUGCCAAUUACAGUCCAUGAUAAACGUGUGUGAUAAAAGAAAAUUAUUUUACUUGAACUCAAAGUGAUCUAUGCUAUAUCAUUAUUUACGUAACAAUAUAGGGAUAAAAGAUGCUUCUUUCACGAAUUACGAAUACGUAGAUAAACGAUAAAUACAACGAUUUCUCUAUGAUAAUAAAGACAAUUCGUGGGAGGAAUAAAAUAGUACAAUCAAGAAGAAAAGCGCGAGAAGACAAUAUCAAAAGAUUUAUUGUUACAAUCAUACGAUAAAUAUUUAUUGUGAACAGAGUCAAAACUUGAUCAUUAAUAAUCAUAUCGCAAGAGUGAAUCUACAGAAUUAUCUUAAAAGAAAUGUUUCCCUUGGGAAGCAACGUUUUUAUCACCACUAAUCUUCGUUGGCAAGAUCAGAACCCACAAGAUUGGAAUCUACCGAGUACCAUGGACCUAACCGCCUUCUAUGGAAUGCAGCAACAGGGAAACAGCCCCCUGCCCUACUUAUCUCUAUACCGGCCGUACAAUAACUUUUUGAUGGCUUCUAACCAGAGCUACUUCGAACACUCGCAGCUCAAUCCUUAUUCCACCUUCAAUUAUUACAUGUGUUUGGAUGCGAAGAACUUGUACGCAUCGUUCUUCGACUCCCCGGUAUCCCUCGGAUCAGCAGGCUCGCCGCAGGGGAACCCGACGACGGACGCACCUUCACCCAUAAACUUUCCUGCUCCAGGGGAGAGCAUGGCUGACACCUCAACCCUGUCGCCGGAGACGAACAUGCCAGGCUCGCCGGGCUGCCAGAUCAGAGUGUCGAACGAGUACCUGGUGGGCAGUCCGAGUCCAGGGCCACCAGGGCGAGGAGGAGACUCUCUUCGUGGCACCAGUAGCGGCGAUGGCGGAGGUGGAAGAGGGGGAAGCGGUCAAGAAGGUCGCGACGCGGGGUGCUCGGAUCGCGCGUCGCCCGACUCGGUCUUCCCGGAUACCGGUCCGAUGGUGAGCUUCAGGGUCGCCGAUGAGCAGCAACAGCAGCACCAUCAGCAAUCUCAGCAGCAGCACCAUCAGCACCAGCACCAGCAGCAACAACAGCAACGCUCCGCCACCCCCAUGCCGAUCAAAUCAUCGCCGUACUCGCCAGUCCAGACGGUCUCGUCGACUCCGAUUACCCAGGAGGCCUCUUCGAGGAGUGACAGCCCAGAUCUGAAGGGCGACCUAUCGUCCGUCCAGACCAAGGAAGAAUCCGACAAUUCGGUCUUCGACGGAGGUGGAGGCGGCGGCGGCGGCGGCGGCGGCGGCGGCGGUGGAGGUCGUUCGGAUACAUCUAAUCAACUCAGUCACCGGAACAGCCCGUCAUCUCAAUUCAACCUGAACCAGAACGUUAGUCCCGGACAACAUGGAUCCAUGCAACAGCAACAACAAUCACCACCGGCACCACCGAGGCCACGUGCGCCCUCAGUACCACCGCACCUGCUAGCGGCCCAUCAUCAGUUUUGGUCGCAGAAUACUACCAGCGUACAGGGAUUCGCUACGCAGAGGCUACUCAACGGUGUCAUCAGCAGCGCCGUCAGCUACGGCGGACAGAACGCCACGACCACCUCCACCAGCUCCGGAGGAGGUACCAGCGGUACCAAUUCCAGCUGCGUUACUACCGGCGCUACCACCACGGCGGCCUCGUGCGAAGGUAUGAAGCCACCGGCGCAGAGAGCAGCGCCGGCACCACCGCGACCUCCUCCGACGGUAUUAAUGGGGGAGAUCGGUGGCGUCCGUACUAUGAUAUGGUCGGCGCCGCCGUUGGACCCGGUGCCGCCACCCGCGGCAUCCUGGUCGGCCACGGCGGCGGCCGCGGCCUCGUGCUCCUCAUCGGAGGAGUCGGCCGCCCAGCUGUUGCUAAACCUCGGCCAGGAGUCCAGGGGUAAACCGCCCUCGUCCUCCUCCGCGGUCUCGUACUCGUCUACCGCCGGACCGCCGCUCAACAUGGAAAGGCUGUGGGCCGGUGACCUGACGCAGCUGCCCGCGGCGCAACAGAUGCAGGCGCUGAAUCUCACGGCGUCCGGUUCCGCCGCGCAACCGUGGGUCAGCAACGGCGGCACCGUCGUCAAGACCGAGGCGGCCUCGCAGUCCAUAUCAGUGGCACCGCCCGCUCCCCCCUUGCCACCCCAAGAGCACGAGGAGGACGAAACGCCUAUGAUAUGCAUGAUUUGCGAAGACAAGGCAACCGGCUUGCAUUACGGCAUCAUUACAUGCGAAGGAUGCAAAGGCUUCUUCAAGAGGACAGUGCAAAAUAGACGGGUGUACACAUGCGUGGCGGAAGGAGGCUGCGAAAUUACGAAGGCGCAAAGGAACAGGUGUCAGUACUGUCGGUUCAAAAAGUGCAUCGAACAGGGUAUGGUCCUGCAGGCGGUUCGAGAAGAUCGGAUGCCUGGAGGAAGGAAUUCUGGCGCAGUGUACAACCUUUACAAGGUGAAGUACAAGAAACACAAGAAGAGCAACAAGAGUAGCGGCGUCGGUGGCGGCAUGGGUGGCGGCGGUAACGUCGGUGGUGUAAACGGGUCGGGAACCCUCGGCGGUACCAAGGGUGCCAUGGGCACGACAAUAUUGGACAAGCAUAUGGCCGCGGCUGCAGCCGCCCAUCACAGCCAGCAGCAGCAGCAGCAGCACGCCCAGCUAGCCGGUGGAUUCCUCCAUCAUCACAAAAUCUCUUCGGGCGAUUCGCUUAACUCGCCGCCCGCCCCCAGCCACCCGAGUCAUCCUGCGCAUUCGGGCCACCUCGUCAACGGGACUAUCCUGAAGACGGCGCUUACCAAUCCCUCCGAAGUGGUGCAUUUACGACAAAGGCUAGACAAUGCAGUAAGCAGUUCGAGGGAUCGAGUAUUUCCUCUGGACGCAACCUUAACCAUGAUUCAAACCCUUAUAGACUGCGAUGAGUUCCAAGAUAUCGCUACAUUGAGGAACUUGGAUGAGCUACUGGACCAUAAUUCAGACUUAAGUGACAAGCUGUGUCAGAUAGGAGAUAGCAUAGUGUACAAGUUGGUGCAGUGGACCAAAAGGUUACCGUUUUACCUUGAGCUGCCGGUCGAAGUUCACACGAGGCUGCUCACCCACAAAUGGCAUGAACUUCUCGUGCUGACCACAUCUGCCUACCAAGCGAUGCAUGGUCAGCACAGGUUAACAAAUGCUGCUACUGACGGGACGGGUGCAGACUUUAUGCAAGAAGUAACGAACAACAUGUAUACGUUGCAAAGGUGCCUAACCAGCAUGAUGGGUCGGCCGAUAACCAUGGACCAAUUGCGACAAGAUGUAGGGCUCAUGGUGGAAAAAAUCACAUAUGUCACGCUAAUGUUCAGGCGGGUGAGGCUACGGAUGGAGGAAUAUGUCUGUCUAAAAGUAAUCACUAUGCUCUCACAAGGAGACACAAAAUCACGAGGAAGUACAUUGGAAUUAGAACAGAUACAAGAACGGUACAUGAGCUGUCUGCGAAGUUUUGUCGAGCACAGCGCUCCUCAGCAGCCGGGUCGAUUUCAUGAUCUUCUUGUCAGGUUGCCCGAAGUACAAUCAGCGGCGACUUUACUACUCGAGAGUAAAAUGUUCUACGUUCCUUUCCUAUUGAACUCAGCAAUUCAAAGAUAGUAAAUAAACAAAGUGACGAUAAACGAAGCUGAAUACCUAUAUACAUACUAUACAUACGUUAUAAAUAUAUACACGCAGAAAAAAGUAAAAGAAUCGAACAAACUGACAUGCAACAAACGAAUAGAAAAACAAAAAGAACAGAGUCCAAUGAGAGAGAAAGAGAGACGACUCAAGCCGAACAGGGAAAGGCUUUGUUUGCGAGGACGGAGAGGAGGAAUCGUUCGAGUGAAAAAAAGCGAAAAGAACACAAGAGUGGAACACGAAUAGAAAGUAACCACGUCAGGACAGCGAAAGAAGGAGGAUAGAGAAAGAAACGGAGAAAGAAAGGAACGAUUUUAAAUAAAAUAUUAAAGAAAGAGUAUAUAUGUAAUAUAUAUUAUAUACGUAAUAUAUAUUAAAUAUAUGCCCGUAUAUAGAAAGUUAAAGGAGCAAGAGAGAGAGAGAGAGAGAAAGAAAGAGCGAGAGAGAGGGAGAGAAAGGGAGGGAGAGAAAGAAAGCGCGCCACCUCGAGAUGGGCAAUCAGUCGAGGUGGGAACUGAACUUUUUUAUCGAAACUAAAAGACUAUAAUAAUAUAUUUCUGUACGCAAACACACGUACCGCGCAACUACGUCAUUGUGUGUUCACAUUGCAUAAUCCGAUCGAUAAAAUAAGACUCUCGUUACGUACCGCUCACCGUAGGCCACCUACUACUAUUACUACUGCUACUAUUACCGCCACUUUCUACUACUACCGAUCUUGAAGCUAAGA
rnacentral:misc_RNA from 1 species